CAAUGGAAGUCGCGGGGAGACGGAGCUCUGUUCGUUUGUAUAUUUUAUUUACGUGACCAUAUGUUUGGUUUAUGUUAAAAAAAAGAAUCAAAGAACCAGUUCUUCUUGUUUUGGGGAACCAGUUCUUGUCGUUCACGUUCGGGAUUCGUUCGUUGUAACGAAUCAGUCGCGAACUCUCCUUCUAUGGGCCACGGGCAGAGGCCCGUGACCCUUCGCGGGUGUCGCUGAAAAUCUCUGUAGGAUCAAUCAUCGACACCAUCAACCGUUGUGGGAAGAACUCUUGAAGAGAGGGAAAAAACCACUACGCGCCCAUAAUACUGAGACGGCAUUCACCUUGUGGGUCUCAUUGGAAAUACAGGUAAUUAUUUAACAAUACAACAAUAAACAUAAAUCUUGUUAUCAUACAAUCACAUGGCCAAACAGCACACAAACAAAACUAUCCAUUGAAAUCCUGAGCUAAUACUUUUGGUUAUGUGCAACAAGGUCAUAAAAUAUUCAACAGGUGCAAAAGUAACGUAAAAAUUGGUGGUCAUAAUACAAUUUUAAAAUUUCAAAAUGAUUGAUAGGCUAGCAUGGAUUUGGGGGGUUCAGGUGAUCUUCGUGUAUUGGUGCGCCGGUUCAUGUGGGUGGUUUUGGGCGAUGUUAUUAUCGUAGUCAUUGUUUUUUCUGUCGCCGUCGGGCCUGUAAUUUAUGAACCCAAGACUCGUCCCUCCUUGUCAAGGGCUCAACUCAGAGAGGUUACUCCUACAUCAUGGGAGCCUCCAAACAGGUUCUCCGUCGUCGUCGUGUCAGUAACAGGUGGCCUGUAAAACAACCGUCUCAAGGAAGAUCAACAGUACCAUUAUCAAUGCAGCGAUUCAGAAAUAACGGGUUGCACUCGCAACCAAACAAUACUAUAUAAUAACAAAUACAACUCGUCUUGGUGGUUC
ensembl:lncRNA